rnacentral:rRNA from 1 species
UGAGGAAUAUUGGUCAAUGGACGGAAGUCUGAACCAGCCAAGUAGCGUGCAGGAAGACGGCCCUAUGGGUUGUAAACUGCUUUUGUAUGGGGAUAAAGUCAAUCACGUGUGAUUGUUUGCAGGUACCAUACGAAUAAGGACCGGCUAAUUCCGUGCCAGCAGCCGCGGUAAUACGGAAGGUUCGGGCGUUAUCCGGAUUUAUUGGGUUUAAAGGGAGCGUAGGCCGGAGAUUAAGUGUGUUGUGAAAUGUAGACGCUCAACGUCUGACUUGCAGCGCAUACUGGUUUCCUUGAGUACGCACAACGUUGGCGGAAUUCGUCGUGUAGCGGUGAAAUGCUUAGAUAUGACGAAGAACUCCGAUUGCGAAGGCAGCUGACGGGAGCGCAACUGACGCUGAAGCUCGAAGGUGCGGGUAUCGAACAGGAUUAGAUACCCUGGUAGUCCGCACAGUAAACGAUGGAUGCCCGCUGUUGGUACCUGGUAUCAGCGGCUAAGCGAAAGCAUUAAGCAUCCCACCUGGNGAGUACGCCGGCAACGGU